CCUCCCUUGUCAUGUGACCUGUGGACUUCCCUUUGUCAUCCUAUGCCUGGAGUAAUAGAGGGGGCUGGGAAGUCAAAGGGACGCUCAGGCGUCAUCAUUCGC
rnacentral:pre_miRNA from 8 species